rnacentral:rRNA from 1 species
AUUGAACGCUGGCGGCAUGCUUUACACAUGCAAGUCGAACGGCAGCGCGGGCUUCGGCCUGGCGGCGAGUGGCGAACGGGUGAGUAAUGCAUCGGAACGUGCCCAGUAGUGGGGGAUAGCCCGGCGAAAGCCGGAUUAAUACCGCAUACGACCUGAGGGUGAAAGCGGGGGACCGAAAGGCCUCGCGCUAUUGGAGCAGCCGAUGUCGGAUUAGCUAGUUGGUGGGGUAAAGGCUUACCAAGGCGACGAUCCGUAGCUGGUCUGAGGGGACGACCAGCCAACACGGGACUGAGGACCGGCCCCGACUCCUUAGGGAGGCAGGCGUGGGGAAUUUUGGACAAUGGGGGCAACCCUGAUCCAGCCAUGCCGCGUGCGGGAAGAAGGCCUUCGGGUUGUAAACCGCUUUUGUUCGGGAAGAAAUCCUCUGGGCUAAUACCCCGGGGGGAUGACGGUACCGGAAGAAUAAGCACCGGCUAACUACGUG